GGGCGUGGAAGGGGACGAGGAUGACGAGGACACUUGUCGGGAUUGCAUACUGCACACAGGAUCCAUCGCGCCGCACGCAGCGGGCUGUGCAUUUAGUGUGGUUCCAUGAGCUGGUAUAAGCACUGAAUUAUCUGAGAGGCUAAUCAGAAAUGCUGAGUUCUGAGAUCUCUUGCAUCCAAAUCUGUAUGGACUUCAGAAAGACCCUCGCACAAGACUACAUUGUGAAGUCUCUGAGUUAAGUGUCUGCCUGUUCACUGGGUGCUGUGGCUCCUUACGGCCACCAGGUGGCAGUGGUGUAGAAGACAGAGCCUAGAGCCUUCACUGUUAAGAAAAAAAUUCUGGGAAAAGGAGAAUUCUACAUCACAGGAGAGAAAAUGUUAUUCUUUUUGUACACUGUUACUAGUUACUCUUUUAAAAAUCUUUGAAGGGACUGUAGCAAUCCUACAGUGGUAAAAUGUGUGCCUGGCACCCAGUGGACCCAGGUUUGAUCCUCAUAUGGUCCUCAGAGCAGAGCCUCGGGUAACCCUGAACACAUCUGAUCCAAACCAAACCAAAACAAAGUAACUUUUAAGUCAUUCAUUACCUUCUGGAUGAAGAGACAAACAGAAUAUUACAUUGGAUUGUGUUUUUGCAUAAAUGAACUCUGUAAAGAUAGACAAACAACUAAUAAAAAUGUUUCCAGUGGUGAGGGUGGGUGGGAAACAGGCUGUGGGAACAGGACUGGAAUCAGACAAUGUAGCUCUUUACAUUUAUCUUCAUUAGCGACACAAAGGUAUUACCAGUAUCAAUACUAAUAACCACCACAACAAAAGAGCUCUUAGAUCGCCAGAUCCCUCUCUAGAAGACCUGGGUACUCUGGAUCCCAGAUCAGAAUCUGGUAAGGGCAGGGCACUCCAGCAGACCUCAGCCAUUGCUGGAAAGCACAGCCAUCAACCGGUUACAUUUCCUCCAGCACCUGGUCUGUUCCUGUCUACCAGCUCUGAUCUGCCCCUGUCUGCGUUCAGCGUCUCACCAAGCACCCUCUUCUGUCUCCACUGGAUGACAUUUUAAAAUUAGAGGCUAUGUUAACAAAGAAAUGGUUUUCUUCCUCACUGAGAUCAAGAGAGUAAAAAGGUAGUCAGCCUCUAACACAAGCGAGAGGCAGUGAAAUCACAUACACGAUUAGACUUUUUAAAAGCACAUGGCACUCUGUGAUCUCUUUUAAACAUGCAUCUCUCUUUUCCCCUCUCACACUUCUCUAAGUAAAUUUCUUUCAAUAGAACUAUUUUGGUUCACUUUAAAAAUAAAAAAGGAAAGAAAAAAAGGGGGUGGGGGAGAAAAAGUUAAAAAGCAGGGUCUGGAAAGAUAGUACAGUACAGUAGGCAGGGUGUUUGCCAUGAAAAUGGUUCAAUCCCUGGCAUCCCAUUUGGUCCCCCAAGCACCAUCAGGAGUAAUUAAUUCCAGAGCAGGUGUGGCACCCAAACCAAAAAUAAAUUUAAAGAGGACAUGGCACAAAGAGAAAAAGCUCUUCACACAAGCCUCUAAGAGGAACUGUAGUCAUAUCCACCCAAAAUGUGGGCCAUGCAACACAAAUCAAUAUAAUGGAGAUAAAACAUUCUAAGGACUCUUCCAGGCUCUUAGGAACACAAUGAAUUCCAGGGUUAGGUAAGUUCAAUGCACUCUCGAAGUCCCACCUAAGCCUGAAGAAAAGGAAGUUAGUAUUUCAUGCACCUUAGGAUAUUCUGAUAUAGAGGGACCUCCCUCCCCCAACAAACCACUACCGUGAUUUUUUUUUCAAGGUUUUCAUAAAGAAAGAACAGGAGCCUCCUAGCAGUAAGAACCAGGAGAAAUGUCUUGGGUCUGGCAUUCUAAGUAAACAAACUGAGUCUUAUUAUCACGGAUAUAGUUCUUUGACUGUGGACUACUGGAGGCCUCUGACAGGCUCUUCCUGACUGACUUUAUCAAGACACCAAGCAGGCAGGUACACGUAUCUAACUGUACCCACAAGACAGAGAGAGGAUGUAGCUCCAGGAAAAGCCAGUCUCCUUUCCCCGUCUACCCGAGGAGCUGGGACAGGCACUCACUUCCACAGCUGCGCAUUCAGAUGCUUCUCCACCAUGAGGUUGAGGGCACAGCGAAGCCGAUUCCACCUGGAGUCAAACACGUAAUAGCCUCUUCCAAUCUGCCGACUCCCGAAUGUGCAAAACUGCAAGAGAGAGCACAGUGGCGGGUGCUUGCUACCAGAAAGGGUUCUCUCUUCCUCGGGAAAGGAGCUAACCAGGAAAGAUCAAAGCUUACUCUGAGGAGGGUAUGAAGCAUGAGCGUGACCGAUGCCUAGUCCUUCAUGAAGAGAAAGCGCACGCCACCUCGGGGGUGCCCUGUUCUCAGCUGCUCCUACACCUUGAAUGCAUCCCACUCGCUGGGACGGGCACACCCCCGCCCCCCUGCCCCGCUGCGGAGCCCUUGCCCUACUGAGUGAGAAAAG